UCGCGUGAUGCCACGGAUCAUUGCCUGCGUACAACCACUAAUGAAGAAGAAAGGCGGAAGUGUGCGUCGCAUCGGUUUCGAGACUUGAGAACAGUAAACCCAGUGUAAAAACAACAAAAUACUGAAAGAGUUGGUAAGAGAACUGCUAAUUGCGGCCGCUGAUGAAAUAUGCGUGUUGUCUGAAAAAACAAUAGCGUCAUACGAAGAGGAACUUUGUCGUAAAAGAGCGAAAAACGAGCGACAACGCCGCGAACUCGCUGCAGUCAGCAGAAACACGUUGUCCUACACGGCGAAGAUGUGCAGGAGUUGACUGCUCAUCAUGAAGAACUUCAAGGAGGUAGUUGCAAUUUAGAGCAGGAGGGUCUGGAGUUCUCCUACAUUAAAGAAGAGGAAGUGGAGGAUCCACAGCCCCUCUAUGUUAAAAAAAAAGAAUGAUAAGGAGCAGGAGGAGGCACUGAGCGUCAUCAUUGUGAAGAGCGAAGACGACGAACACAAACCACCUGAGUCGUCGCAGCUUCAUCCUUGCAGUCCAACUGGAGUCCACCCUGGAGGACCACCAACAGACCACCCCUUAGUUACACUAUUACACAGUGACAACAUAGAAAAACCUUCAAGGAGUAACGCAGACUGCGAAGAUGACGGCAAGCAUAAAGAACAUUUUACCCGCUCUCUGUGUGGAAACAUUUUUUCAUAUAAGUGCCAGCUGACUGCACACAUGAGAACGCACAGUGGAGAAAAACCCUUCAGUUGCUCAGUGUCCCAUAAACGUUUCACCCAAAAGGUACUGCUGUCACAAGGAAAACGGGGAGUAAUGGAAUCCACCUCCUUGGCCUGUAUGCACACUCACAACACAAGACCUCGUAACUGGAAAUAAAGCGUGUCAGGGCUCAUUUAAAGUUUCCUGAACAACAUUUGGACAAGUCAGUAAAAUACAGCGAGAAUAUAGUCUGUUCUGAUGAGCGCACAAUUGAACUCUUUGGGUGGCAUAAUGUAUACCACGUUAGGAAUAGAAAUGGCCGUUUAUAUCACUCUAAAAAUACGCGGGUAACACUGAAGUUCAGAGGUGGGAACAUGAUGGUGUGGGGCUGCUUUUCAACACAUGGUACUAGUAAACUACAUUAUUGAAGGAAGGAUAACUAGGCAAGUGUACAGUGAGGAAAAUAAGUAUUUGAACAUCCUGUUAUAUUCCAAGUUCUCCCACUUAGAAAUCAUUGAGGGGUCUGAAAUUUUCAUCGUAGGUGCAUCUCCACUGUGAGAGAGAUAAUCUAAAAAGAAAAAUCCAGAAAUCACAAUGUAUGAGUGUUUUUUAAUGAUUUAUUGUUAUGAUACAGCUGCAAAUAUGUAUUUGAACACCCGAGAAAACCACAGUUAAUAUUUGUUACAGUAGCCUUUGUUUGCAUAUAUAGAGGUCAAACGUUUCCUGGAGUUAUUCACCAAGGUUGCACACACUGCAGGAACGAUUUUGACCAAAUCCUCCACACAAAUUUUCUCUAGAUCCAACAGGUUUCUGGGCUGUCGCUGAGAAACAGAGUUUUCAGCUGUUUAGGUCUGAAGACUGACUAGGCCCCACCAAAACCUUGAUAUGCUUCUUACGGAGCCACUCCUUGGUUUUCCUGGCUGUGUACUUCGGGUCAUUGUCAAGUUGAAAGACCAAGCCAUGACCCAUCUUCAAUGCUCAGACUGAGGGAAAGAGGUUGUUCCCCAAAAUCUCACAAUACUUGGCCGCGGUCAUCCUCUUCUUAAUACAGUGCAGUCGUCCUGUCCCAUGUGCAGUAAAACACCGCCAAAGCAUGAUGCUACCAUCCCCAUGCUUCACAGUAGGGAUGGUGUUCUUGUGAUGGAACUCGUCAUUCGUCUCCCCCCAAACACGGUUAGUGGAAUUAUGACCAAAAAGUUACACUUUGGUAUCAUCUGACCACAAAACUUUCUCCCAUGACUCCUCUCUAAGACACCUCUUUAGUCUUGGCCAAGUUAUAAGUUUGACUCUUACAAAACUUUCUCCCAUGACACCUCUGUAUCAUCCAAAUGGUCAUUGGCAAACUUAAGACGGGCCUUGACAUGUGCUGGUUUAAGCAGGGGAACCUUCCGCGCCAUGCAGGAUUUCAAACCAUGAAGUCUUAUUGUAUUACCUACAGUCACCUUGGAAACGGUGGUCCCAGCUCUUUUCAGGUCAUUGACCAAGUCCUGUCGUGUGGUCUUGGGCUGAUUCCUCACCUUUCUUAGGAUCAUUGAGACCCCACAAGGUGAUAUCUUGCAUGGGGCUCCACUCCGAUUGAGAUUGACCAUCAUGUUUUGCUUCUUCCAUUUUCUAAUGAUUGCUCCAACAAGUUGCUUGGCAAUUUCUCCGUAGCCCUUUCCAGCCAUGUGCAGUUGUACAAUUUUGUCUCUGGUGUCUUUGGACAGCUCUCUGGUCUUGGCCAUGUUACAACUUUGAGUCUUACUGAUCGUAUGGGGUGGACAGGUGGCUUUAUGCAGCUAACGACCUCACACAGGUGCAUCUGAUUCAUGGAGUGGAGGUGGACUUUUAAAGGUGGACUAACAGGUCUUUGAGGGUCACAAUGCUAGCUGAUAGACAGGUGUUUAAAUACUUAUUUGGAGCUGUAUCACACAAAUAAAUUGUUAAAAAAAUCAUACAUUGUGAUUUCUGGAUUUUUCUUUUGAGAUUAUCUCUCACAGUGGACAUGCACCUACGAUGAAAAUGUGAGACCCCUCCAUGAUUUCUAAGUGGGAGAACAUGCAAUUUAGCAGGAUGUUCAAAUACUUAUUUUCUUCACUGUACAUGGGCAUUCUUGACAAAAAUCUGCUCCCAUUUGUGAGUAUGAUGAAAAUGAAAUGAGUGCACGUUAGCAGGAUAAUGAUCCAAAACAUACUGCCAGAGAAACUCAUAUUUUGUUUAGAAGAAAAACAAAUAAAGCUGCUUGAAUGCCGCAGCCAAUCACCUAACUUGAAUCCAAUUGAAAAUUCAGGUCAAGAACUGAAACCCGGGUUGAUAAAGGAAGCCCAGAGAGAAAUGGCCCACAAUCACACCAGAGCAAUGCGUAUGAUACAGACAGAAUUGCAAACUAGGGAUUUUCAAUUCUUUUUCCUUGUGUCACAGAGUGUGUCCCCAGCAUCUAGUGAAAUAUUGUCAAAAGCACCAUUGGAAAUAAAUUUUGGGAACAAAUGGUACUGUGUUAAAUACUUAUUUCAGCCACUGGGGAAAAAACGGAUU